AAAUAAUAUUCACAUUUUUCGUAUUUUAUCUUUAAUUUUCAAUUUUUUAUGUUUUGUUCUAAAUUGUAUUGUUGUUUUCGAUAAGUUGUUAUUUGAGAUGUUUGAGUAAUUGAGUUCAAUAUGCGAGUUGAAAUGAGUUACAGCUACGAUUAAUAUCCAAACAUUUAGUCAAGUGCCUAUUUGAUAUCGUGGUAGGUUCUGUUACAUGUUUGGGAGAUUAUUAUCGCCAGACGAAACGAUGAUCGAUGGGUUUUCUAUCGAAUUAUCUGCAUAGCUGGCGAUUAGGUUCAUCGUUGCUAGGUUAUAUUUAAUCAGUUAUAGCCUCGGUUUCAUGUGGACCGUACAUCUAAAUUAGAUGAAAUUGUAGUUUACGUCGGCUAGUUUUGACGAUAUCUAAAAUUAACUGGUUUCGGAAUUAAGGAGAUGAUAUUUACGAAUGUCCUGAAAUAUUUAUUUUGUGCACUUGUUGUUCAGGUGGAUUAAUGUAUGGACACUAAUGGGGUGUCAUUUGCUUUUUGUGUUAAGUGUUGGAUAUUUAUGAAUCCUAUAUGAUUGGAAGUUGCCUUCCAAAGUCUUGGUUGGGCAUACUAUUGUCUGUAGAAGUGAGAACUAAAGAGAUCUUGCACUUCGUUGCUCAAUAAUAUUACUACAAUGGUUGUUAAAGUGAUGCCUGGAAGUUAUUGAUAAGUUCGCUUGCAUCAUGAACCUAACUUUAAAGAAUUUGUUAUGACCUGUUAAUUGGUUUCUAGAAAUCAUUUGUCUAUUAAAAAUUCUUCUGUAUUUAACAGUUGGUGAACUAGUAUCUGACGGAGUGGUUCACUUGAUAUUCUUUUGGAUAGUGUGAGAUGGGAUGAUAAAGGUUUGCGGUGGCUAUAGCCCAACAUGUUGACACAGGAAGUGUCUUAAUGCAAGGAAUUGCCAACAGGGAUGCACUUUCAUACACCAUUUCCUCGAAGAAAGCCACAUUUUACAGUAGCUCAAGGUCAAAGUUUUGGACUAAGGUCGAAGAAAGCCUCUAUGAAUUACAUUAAUCUGUGAUAUCUUCUGAGAGAUUCGACAGAGGCUCUGUCAGACAAAUUUGAAAAUCCUGUAUGAUUUCACUUGUAUUUGAGUUUACCUUCUGAACUACUCCGAUGGACACUCUUGCCAUACUGGAUCAGAAAGGUGCCACUAUAUAUCUGGUUUUGGAUCUCUGCAUAGCUCACAAUGGUGUAUCUUACCAUCUUCCUUCAGCAUGCAUACCUCUUAAUAAAGUUAUAUUUUUAAAACUUGAUAGUAAUUUUAAUAUUUGUCUUUGAGCAGGCAAAAGAAAUUAAAUUGGCGAUGACGACAUUACAGUCCCUAGAGGCAACAAUCGUCCAACGAAAAGCAGAAUCCUCAACUGCAAAGCCUUCAGGGACUAGGAGAUAUCUUUGGAUGAGAUAUCUUGGGUGAGAUGUUGGAUGUUGAAUGGAAGAAUAAUGAAACUACUAAAGCUCUUCUGCAAGGGUUAGAAAGAGCCAAAAAUAUUUUCAACUGAAUGUAAGAUUAUUUUUGGAUUAAUUGGUUGCAAUUUUUUGUUGGGAAGGUGAGUAAUCUCUAAUAGAACAAACAAAUAUUAUGGUUGAGCGGUGUAAUAAAUAUCGUUGAUUUAAAAUAUUUAUUUAUGAUAAUUGUUGUUAAUGUAAAAUAUUCAUUGAUUAAUAUUUUUAUAUAUUUUUGUUUACA